GACAGGUUGGUGGUGGAAGACUCAGUGUGCCAGCUGCUGUCCUGUGUGGUGGCAGCUAGUAGGGAUGCCAGGGCCCUGUCCCCUCACUCACUGCUCCUGCGGCGUCCCUAGUAGCAGCUCAGGCAGUGGACCACUGGCUCUCCCACAGACAGCACUCCCUGAAGUUUGUGGCACACAUGGAAGAUGCCCUGAAAGAGCUCACUGAGAUGCUAUUAUGCAAUGACCAGCUCAACAGGUUCCAGGUUGAGGAGAGGCUGACAGAGUGUUUGACCCUGCUGGGAGGGAACAGCUUGCUGAGGUCCCUGCUCAUCCGUCAUGUCCUGUCUGAGAUCAACCGGCUAGCAGAGCACGUCUUGAUCACCUGCCAGGGGGAGAGCAGUGAGGGGUCUGUCCAGGUUGACGUGUCCCAGUAUGAAAACUCCUCCUACCUGGUCUGACUCCUGGAGUAGCUCCUACAUGGACCUCCAGGGGCCGCAGUGGGGCCAGGACACCAAUGGACGUAGGAGCAGAGGGCCCUGCUGGGCAGCCUGGAACACAGCGUCCUUCUCCUGUCUGACUUCCCCUGUUUAGCCUACAUGUGGAGGAUAGGGGCUCUCCUCGCCCCCUCUGUUCCAGGAACGAGCAUGGCGCCACCACGGCCACACAGGCGUGUAAUUCCACCUCCAGGAUGUUUCCACUUCAAAGGGCUGCAGAAGUUGGUGCAGAUACAGUCAAUUUGACUGACAUGACAGGAUUGAAGAGACAGGACUUAACAAACUGGAGGAGGUGGUGGGAGGUGCGUUAUUCAUUGAGGUUGGCUACCUCUUCAGAAGAAUAAUCUAUAAAUAGUAUGGCACUAAACCAAAGCCUGUCAUUAUUCUUGUUGGGAAAAGUGUGGCAAUUAAACAAUAAGACCCGAGGGGGUGUGGUACAGUAUAUGGCCAAUACACCACGGCUAAGGGCUGUUCUUAAGCACAACUCAACACGGAGUGCCUGGACACAGCCCUUAGCCGUGGGGGUUUGUGAUAUCAGGGCGGCAGGGUAGCUUUCAGCCACUCAGCAUUCAGGGCUCGAACCACAGUUUAUAAUGUGAAAUAGACUAUUGUGGCUGGCAUUAGAAUUACAAUGGAAAGCAUUGCAUUUUUUAUGAGAAUUAUAUAUUUUUUAUUUACAGACUGUGUGAAUGUAGAAUGGAUAUACUGAGUGCUGUAUGAGCAGGAAUAUCUUACUGUAAAGAAGGUAUGUCCGGAAAGUUUUUAGGCAUUUACAUUUUCAUUUGUUGAUUCUAUUAGCAAGAUGUAGUGAAGCAAUUUUACAAAUGGAUUUGAAAAUAAAUAAAAUCCAAAAUGUUCAUAUUC
ensembl:lncRNA